rnacentral:sRNA from 1 species
AAAGUCCUGAUGUGUUUGUUGUACACCUAGUUUUGACCGAACAUUUUUUUACUUGGGAGUUCGAUGUUUCCAAAUGGAGCAAAUGCCUCUUAUCACUCGUGUGCUGGAGGACUUGCAAAGUUUGGAAC